AGGACGAACGCUGGCGGCGUGCUUAACACAUGCAAGUCGAGCGGAAAGGCCCUUCGGGGUACUCGAGCGGCGAACGGGUGAGUAACACGUGAGCAACCUGCCCCUGGCUCUGGGAUAGCCUCCGGAAACGGGGAUUAAUACCGGACGUGACCCUUGACCGCAUGGUUGGGGGUGGAAAGUUUUUCGGCCAGGGUGGGCUCGCGGCCUAUCAGCUUGUUGGGGGGUGACGGCCCACCAAGGCGACGACGGGUAG
rnacentral:rRNA from 1 species